rnacentral:rRNA from 1 species
CAGUCGCCACGGUAAAACGGAGGGUGCAAGCGUUAAUCGGAAUUACUGGGCGUAAAGCGCACGCAGGCGGUCUGACAAGUCAGAUGUGAAAUCCCCGGGCUUAACCUGGGAACUGCAUUUGAAACUGUCAGGCUGGAGUCUUGUAGAGGGGGGUGGAAUUCCAGGUGUAGCGGUGAAAUGCGUAGAGAUCUGGAGGAAUACCGGUGGCGAAGGCGGCCCCUGGACAAAGACUGACGCUCAGGUGCGAAAGCGUGGGGAGCAAACAGGAUUAGAUACCCCUGUAGUCCCUGUCUCUUAUACA